GAAACCAACAGGGAUUGCCUCAGUAACGGCGAGUGAAGCGGCAACAGCUCAAAUUUGAAAUCUGGCGCCUUCGGCGUCCGAGUUGUAAUUUGUAGAGGAUGCUAUUGGGUUGCCACCGGUCUAAGUUCCUUGGAACAGGACGUCACAGAGGGUGAGAAUCCCGUAUGUGACCGGCCAGGCGCCUUCUGUAUAGCUCCUUCGACGAGUCGGGUUGUUUGGGAAUGCAGCCCUAAAUGGGAGGUAAAUUUCUUCUAAAGCUAAAUACCGGCCAGAGACCGAUAGCGCACAAGUAGAGUGAUCGAAAGAUGAAAAGCACUUUGGAAAGAGAGUUAAAAAGCACGUGAAAUUGUUGAAAGGGAAGCGCUUGCAAUCAGUCUCGACGGCGGCUGUUCGGCCUCUCUUCUGAGUGGUUUAUUCAGUCGCCGCCGGGCCAGCAUCAGUUUUGGCGGUCGGAUAAAGGCGUGGGGAAUGUAGCUCCUCCGGGAGUGUUAUAGCCCCGCGUGCAAUACGGCCCGCCGGGACUGAGGUCCGCGCUUCGGCUAGGAUGCUGGCGAAAUGGUUGUAAGCGGCCCGUCUUGAAACACGGACCAAGGAGUCUAACAUCUACGCGAGUGUUUGGGUGUCAAACCCGUGCGCGCAAUGAAAGUGAACGGAGGUGGGAACCGCAAGGUGCACCAUCGACCGAUCCUGAUGUCUUCGGAUGGAUUUGAGUAAGAGCGUAGCUGUUGGGACCCGAAAGAUGGUGAACUAUGCCUGAAUAGGGUGAAGCCAGAGGAAACUCUGGUGGAGGCUCGCAGCGGUUCUGACGUGCAAAUCGAUCGUCAAAUUUGGGUAUAGGGGCGAAAGACUAAU
rnacentral:rRNA from 1 species